GAUGGGAAGAAAAUCCUACGGUUAAUACCCGUGGGACUUGACGGUACCAUCAGAGGAAGCACCGGCUAACUCCGUGCCAGCAGCCGCGGUAAUACGGAGGGUGCAAGCGUUGUUCGGAUUCACUGGGUAUAAAGGGUGCGCAGGCGGCCUGAUAAGUCAGGGGUGAAAUAUGACGGCUCAACCGUCAAACUGCCCCUGAAACUGUCAGGCUUGAGUCCGGGAGAGGUAGGUGGAAUUCCAGGUGUAGCGGUGAAAUGCGUAAAUAUCUGGAGGAACACCGGUGGCGAAGGCGGCCUACUGGCCCGGUACUGACGCUCAGGCACGAAAGCAUGGGGAGCGAACGGGAUUAGAUACCCCGGUAGUCCAUGCCGUAAACGAUGGGUACUAGGUGUUGGAGGAUUCUACCCCUUCAGUGCCGCAGCUAACGCAUUAAGUACCCCACCUGGGGAGUACGAUCGCAAGGUUGAAACUCAAAGGAAUUGACGGGGGCCCGCACAAGCGGUGGAGCAUGUGGUUUAAUUCGAUGCAACGCGAAGAACCUUACCUGGGCUUGACAUGCAGGGGACAGGUGUAGAAAUACAUCCUUCUUCGGACUCCUGUACAGGUGCUGCAUGGCUGUCGUCAGCUCGUGUCGUGAAAUGUUGGGUUAAGUCCCGCAACGAGCGCAACCCUUGUCUUUAGUUGCCAUCAGGUUAUGCUGGGGACUCUAGAGAGACUGCCGGUGACAAACCGGAGGAAGGUGGGGACGACGUCAAGUCAUCAUGGCCCUUACGCCCAGGGCUACACACGUGCUACAAUGGUCGGUACAAUGGGCAGCGAUACAGGGAUGUGGAGCGAAUCCCAAAAAGCCGGCCUCAGUUCGGAUCGUAGUCUGCAACUCGACUACGUGAAGUUGGAAUCGCUAGUAAUCGCGUAUCAGAACGACGCGGUGAAUACGUUCCCGGGCCUUGUACACACCGCCCGUCAAGUCAACCGAGUUGGCUGCACCCCAAGUCGCUGAGCUAACCCGUAAGGGAGGCAGGUGCCCAAGGUGUGAUUAGCGA
rnacentral:rRNA from 1 species